CCUACGGGUGGCAGCAGUGAGGAAUAUUGGUCAAUGGGCGGAAGCCUGAACCAGCCAAGUCGCGUGAGGGAAUAAGGCCCUACGGGUCGUAAACCUCUUUUGCCGGGGAGCAAGGGCGGGGACGUGUCCCGGCCCGGAGAGUACCCGGAGAAAAAGCAUCGGCUAACUCCGUGCCAGCAGCCGCGGUAAUACGGGGGAUGGGAGGGUUAUCCGGAUUUAUGGGGUUUAAGGGGUGCGUAGGCGGUCUUUUACGUCGGGGGUAAAAAUUCGGGGCUCAACCCCGUCCGGCCGUUGAAACUGGGGGCCUUGAGUGGGCGAGAAGAAGGCGGAAUGCGUGGUGUAGCGGUGAAAUGCAUAGAUAUCACGCAGAACCCCGAUUGCGAAGGCAGCCUUCCGGCGCCCUACUGACGCUGAGGCACGAAAGUGUGGGGAGCGAACAGGAUUAGAUACCCGGGUAGUC
rnacentral:rRNA from 1 species